CCUACGGGUGGCAGCAGUGAGGAAUAUUGGUCAAUGGUCGCGAGCCUGAACCAGCCAAGUAGCGUGAAGGAUGACUGCCCUACGGGUUGUAAACUUCUUUUAUACGGGGAUAAAAUGAGGCACGUGUGCCUUUUUGUAUGUACUGUAUGAAUAAGGAUCGGCUAACUCCGUGCCAGCAGCCGCGGUAAUACGGAGGAUCCGAGCGUUAUCCGGAUUUAUUGGGUUUAAAGGGAGCGUAGAUGGGUUGUUAAGUCAGUUGUGAAAGGUUGCGGCUCAACCGUAAAAUUGCAAUUGAUACUGGCAGUCUUGAGUACAGGUGAGGUAGGCGGAAUUCGUGGUGUAGCGGUGAAAUGCUUAGAUAUCACGAAGAACUCCGAUUGCGAAGGCAGCUUACUAAACUGCCACUGACAUUGAUGCUCGAAAGUGUGGGUAUCAAACAGGAUUAGAUACCCUUGUAGUC
rnacentral:rRNA from 1 species